UUUAAACAACCACCUGGAUAUCUGAUAAAUUUAAAGUACAAUAAAUUACUAAGGGACAAUAAAGUGGGUGAGGACCAGCUCUAGGUGUUUAUUUCAUGUGUGCAUGGUACCUCAAGUAUCUGUGUAUAGACAUUAAUUUUCAGCUUUUCUUUUCACUGGCUUUCUGGUAAUGCUACUGCUUUUCUUACCAUAUUUGCCACCUCCAGGGGGCAUUUCCCUGUGAUUUUUUUUCCCCCUCCAGGGUUGCUGAGGGCAAUAACUUAGGCUUUUUCCCUUGGCCUGUAAUUGGAGUCUGGCUGUGCCCAGUCUGUAGGUGUGCAGUUACUGUUCCGAAUCUCACCUGUGAUUUAAUUUUCUUUCUUUUUCCAAUCAGAAGAUGAAGAGUUUGGCCCAAAGACGCCAGUCUGCGCCAUCUUUGAUCUUUGUCAAAGCACUCAGCAGAUCUAGAUCGGCCUCAAGGAGCAGCAAUUCUCACCUGUGCCUGACUUCCUUGUUUGGCUGUGCAAAGCACAUUCCUCUUCAUCACCAAUCUGAUGGAUAAGUUUGAUCUUUCCACUCGGUUUGCUGUGUAAAUGCUUAACACUGGUGAAGUGCUUUCUCUGAAGGAGAGCUGAAGAGCAAGAAAAUGACUUCUCAUGUUUUCUAAUCUUCUCCAAAUGUUUUACCUCAGACCUGUCUCUGCUCUUAGUUCUUAUAGACACAGCCAGUCUGCAAAAUCUAUCAUUCUUCUCUGGCCGUGAACCUUAAUACUGCAACUCCAUAACACUUACUUGUUAAUGGUUGAUUAAUGAUUUGUAGAUAAUAAAGCUCCUAUCUGAAGUUAACAAACAUCUGUGAGGGAUUUAUUGGAAUACUCUCACCUCAGCAGCUGGCUCACCUCAAUAUUUGUUGAAAUUAAUGAACAAGUGCAAAGUUUAAAAGGGCAGGAAAUACUUAGAAGCCUAGUCAGUUUGUAUUUUUAUACCACUUUAUAUGUCAGGUGUCCCUGGUUUAUACACAGGGCACUUUCAUAAAAUGUAGUGGCACUUUGGACAGACUUACUCGGGGGCAUUUUAAAGUUUAUUAAUGCUAUUUAUUCAAAGAAACCAUUGUGACAUCUGGAGAUGGCUAUUUAGCAUUCAGAGGACUAAUGUUUUUGAUGGUAGUGUUAUUGUAGCUGUGAUGACACAAGGAUGUGAACAAGACAAGAUGAUCUAGCUGGAAAAACCAGUGCUUGUUUGUGACAUUGUCCUGAAAGAGAAGCAAGUCUAAAAGUCUUGUGUGCUUAAAAGCUUGUCAUCUUUUUCUUCAGCUGUAUCAUUUGAUUUAAUGAACAUUCAGUUUUCAUUACAAAUUUUCCCUGCCUUGUCAAUCCUAUAGAAGGAGUCAUGUGAUAUUUGUCCUGUUGAAGAAUUCUGGGAUGGCUGUGUGGCAUGGUGGUGCGCAGAA
rnacentral:lncRNA from 1 species